rnacentral:rRNA from 1 species
GAUGAACGCUGGCGGCGUGCCUAAUACAUGCAAGUCGAGCGAACAGACGAGGAGCUUGCUCCUCUGACGUUAGCGGCGGACGUGUGAGUAACACGUGGAUAACCUACCUAUAAGACUGGGAUAACUUCGGGAAACCGGAGCUAAUACCGGAUAAUAUAUUGAACCGCAUGGUUCAAUAGUGAAAGACGGUUUUGCUGUCACUUCUAGAUGGAUCCGCGCCGCAUUAGCUAGUUGGUAAGGUAACGGCUUACCAAGGCGACGAGGCGUAGCCGACCUGAGAGGGUGAUCGGCCACACUGGAACUGAGACACGGUCCAGACUCCUACGGGAGGCAGCAGUAGGGAAUCUUACGCAAUGGGCGAAAGCCUGACGGAGCAACGCGGAGUGAGUGAUGAAGGUCUUCGGAUCGUAAAACUCUGUUAUUAGGGAAGAACAAAUGUGUAAGUAACUAUGCACGUAUUGACGGUACCUAAUAAGAAAGCAACGGCUAACUACGUG